rnacentral:rRNA from 1 species
AGCGAACGCUGGCGGCAGGCCUAACACAUGCAAGUCGAACGAACUCUUCGGAGUUAGUGGCGGACGGGUGAGUAACACGUGGGAACGUGCCUUUUGGUUCGGAAUAACUCAGUGAAACUUGUGCUAAUACCGAAUGUGCCCUUCGGGGGAAAGAUUUAUCGCCAUUAGAGCGGCCCGCGUCUGAUUAGCUAGUUGGUGAGGUAACGGCUCACCAAGGCGACGAUCAGUAGCUGGUCUGAGAGGAUGACCAGCCACACUGGGACUGAGACACGGCCCAGACUCCUACGGGAGGCAGCAGUGGGGAAUAUUGCGCAAUGGGCGAAAGCCUGAAGAAGCCAUGCCGCGUGAAUGAUGAAGGUCUUAGGAUUGUAAAAUUCUUUCACCGGGGACGAUAAUGACGGUACCCGGAGAAGAAGCCCCGGCUAACUUCGUG